rnacentral:rRNA from 1 species
AGUGAACGCUGGCGGCGUGCUUAACACAUGCAAGUCGAACGAGAACGGAUUAUAGCUUGCUAUAAUUGUCAGCUAAGUGGCGCACGGGUGAGUAAUGUAUAGGUAAUAUGCCUCUUACUAAGGGAUAACAAAUGGAAACGCUUGCUAAUACCUUAUACUCCUUAUUAACAGAAGUUAAUAUGGGAAAGAUUUAUUGGUAAGAGAUUAGCCUGUAUUGUAUCAGUUAGUUGGUGGGGUAAUGGCUUAACAAGACUAUGACACAUAACUGGUUUGGGAGGAUUGCAAGUCACACUGGAACUGAGACACGUGCCAGACUCCUACGGGUGGCAGCAGUGUUGAAUAUUACACAAAGGACGAAAGUCUGAUGCAGCAACGCCGCGUGGAGGAUGACACAUUUCGGUGCGUAAACUCCUUUUAUAUGAGAAGAUAAUGACGGUAUUAUAUGAAUAAGCACCGGCUAACUCCGUGCCAGCCGCCACCGUAAGAC